AGCGAACGUUAGCGGCGCGCCUAACACAUGCAAGUCGAACGAGAAAGGGACUUCGGUCCUGAGUAGAGUGGCGGACGGGUGCGUAACACGUAGGUAACCUGCCCUUAGGAAGGGGAUAACGGUUCGAAAGGACCGCUAAUACCGUAUACAGCGCUCGGGGGUAACCUCGAGUGGCAAAGGCCGGGACUCUUCGGAGCCGGUCGCCUGAGGAGGGGCCUGCGGCCCAUCAGCUAGUUGGUAAGGUAAUGGCUUACCAAGGCGAAGACGGGUAGCUGGUCUGAGAGGAUGAUCAGCCACACUGGUACUGGAACACGGACCAGACUCCUACGGGAGGCAGCAGUGGGGAAUCUUGGUCAAUGGGCGCAAGCCUGAACCAGCGACGCCGCGUGAGUGAUGAAGGCCUUCGGGUUGUAAAGCUCUGUGGGGCGAGACGAAAGCGUAGGUCCUAACAGGACCUGCUUUGACGGUAUCGCCUUAGCAAGCACCGGCUAACUCUGUGCCAGCAGCCGCGGUAAGACAGAGGGUGCAAACGUUGCUCGGAAUCACUGGGCGUAAAGGGCGUGUAGGCGGGAAGAUAAGUCAGAUGUGAAAUCCCCAGGCUCAACCUGGGAACUGCAUUUGAAACUG
rnacentral:rRNA from 1 species